GAUGAAGAACGUAGCGAAAUGCGAUAAGUAAUGUGAAUUGCAGAAUUCAGUGAAUCAUCGAAUCUUUGAACGCACAUUGCGCCCGCCAGUAUUCUGGCGGGCAUGCCUGUCCGAGCGUCAUUUCAACCCUCGAACCCCUCCGGGGGGUCGGCGUUGGGGAUCGGCCCUUUCACCGGGUGCCGUCCCCCAAAUACAGUGGCGGUCUCGCCGCAGCCUCUCAUGCGCAGUAGUUUGCACACUCGCACCGGGAGCGCGGCGCGUCCACGUCCGUAAAACACCCCAAACUUCCGAAAUGUUGACCUCGGAUCAGGUAGGAAUACCCGCUGAACUUAAGCAUAUCAAUAAGCGGAGGA
rnacentral:misc_RNA from 1 species